rnacentral:rRNA from 1 species
UACGUAGGGGGCAAGCGUUGUCCGGAAUCACUGGGCGUAAAGCGCGCGUAGGCGGCUUUCUAAGUCAGGGGUGAAAUCCUGGAGCUCAACUCCAGAACUGCCUUUGAUACUGGAGAGCUUGAGUCCGGAAGAGGUGAGUGGAACUCCGAGUGUAGAGGUGAAAUUCGUAGAUAUUCGGAAGAACACCAGUGGCGAAGGCGGCUCACUGGUCCGGUACUGACGCUGAGGUGCGAAAGCGUGGGGAGCAAACAGG